rnacentral:rRNA from 1 species
GACGAACGCUGGCGGCGUGCUUAACACAUGCAAGUCGAGCGAUGAAGUUUCUUCGGAAAUGGAUUAGCGGCGAACGGGUGAGGAACACGUGAAGAAUCUGCCCUCCACUUUGGGAUAACACCGGGAAACCGGUGCUAAUACUGAAUAUUGAAACAUAAGUGGCAUCACUGAGUUUUGAAAGAAUUUCGGUGGAGGAUGACUUCGCGGCCUAUCAGCUAGUUGGUGAGGUAAUGGCUCACCAAGGCAACGACGGGUAGCCGGCCUGAGAGGGCGACAGGCCACAGUGGGACUGAGACACGGCCCAGACUCCUACGGGAGGCAGCAGUGGGGAGUAUUGGGCAAUGGAGGAAACUCUGACCCAGCGACGCCGCGUGCGGGAUGAAGGCCUUCGGGUUGUAAACCGCUUUCAGUAGGGAAGAAGCGAAAGUGACGGUACCUACAAAAGAAGCACCGGCUAACUAUGUGCCAGCCGCCGCAGUAA